ACUCCUACGGGAGGCAGCAGUGGGGGAAUAUUGCACAAUGGGCGCAAGCCUGAUGCAGCCAUGCCGCGUGUGUGAAGAAGGCCUUCGGGUUGUAAAGCACUUUCAGUCGUGAGGAAGGUGGUAGUGUUAAUAGCACUAUCAUUUGACGUUAGCGACAGAAGAAGCACCGGCUAACUCCGUGCCAGCAGCCGCGGUAAUACGGAGGGUGCGAGCGUUAAUCGGAAUUACUGGGCGUAAAGCGCAUGCAGGUGGUUUGUUAAGUCAGAUGUGAAAGCCGGC
rnacentral:rRNA from 1 species